rnacentral:rRNA from 1 species
GGAUAACACUUGGAAACAGGUGCUAAUACCGUAUAACAAUCGAAACCGCAUGGUUUUGAUUUGAAAGGCGCUUUCGGGUGUCNCUGAUGGAUGGACCCGCGGUGCAUUAGCUAGUUGGUGAGGUAACGGCUCACCAAGGCCACGAUGCAUAGCCGACCUGAGAGGGUGAUCGGCCACAUUGGGACUGAGACACGGCCCAAACUCCUACGGGAGGCAGCAGUAGGGAAUCUUCGGCAAUGGACGAAAGUCUGACCGAGCAACGCCGCGUGAGUGAAGAAGGUUUUCGGAUCGUAAAACUCUGUUGUUAGAGAAGAACAAGGAUGAGAGUAACUGUUCAUCCCUUGACGGUAUCUAACCAGAAAGCCACGGCUAACUACGUGCCAGCAGCCGCGGUAAUACGUAGGUGGCAAGCGUUGUCCGGAUUUAUUGGGCGUAAAGCGAGCGCAGGCGGUUUCUUAAGUCUGAUGUGAAAGCCCCCGGCUCAACNGGGGAGGGUCAUUGGAAACUGGGAGACUUGAGUGCAGAAGAGGAGAGUGGAAUUCCAUGUGUAGCGGUGAAAUGCGUAGAUAUAUGGAGGAACACCAGUGGCGAAGGCGACUCUCUGGUCUGUAACUGACGCUGAGGCUCGAAAGCGUGGGGAGCAAACAGGAUUAGAUACCCUGGUAGUCCACGCCGUAAACGAUGAGUGCUAAGUGUUGGAGGGUUUCCGCCCUUCAGUGCUGCAGCUAACGCAUUAAGCACUCCGCCNGGGGAGUACGACCGCAAGGUUGAAACUCAAAGGAAUUGACGGGGGCCCGCACAAGCGGUGGAGCAUGUGGUUUAAUUCGAAGCAACGCGAAGAACCUUACCAGGUCUUGACAUCCUUUGACCACUCUANANAUAGAGCUUCCCCUUCGGGGGCAAAGUGACAGGUGGUGCAUGGUUGUCGUCAGCUCGUGUCGUGAGAUGUUGGGUUAAGUCCCGCAACGAGCGCAACCCUUAUUGUUAGUUGCCAUCAUUUAGUUGGGCACUCUAGCAAGACUGCCGGUGACAAACCGGAGGAAGGUGGGGAUGACGUCAAAUCAUCAUGCCCCUUAUGACCUGGGCUACACACGUGCUACAAUGGGAAGUACAACGAGUCGCGAAGUCGCGAGGCUAAGCUAAUCUCUUAAAGCUUCUCUCAGUUCGGAUUGUAGGCUGCAACUCGCCUACAUGAAGCCGGAAUCGCUAGUAAUCGCGGAUCAGCACGCCGCGGUGAAUACGUUCCCGGGCCUUGUACACACCGCCCGUCACACCACGAAAGUUUGUAACACCCGAAGUCGGUGAGGUAA